GUGCAUCCCUUCCAGCUGGCAGUGUGAUGGAUGGCCCACCUGCGAGGACGAGAGUGAUGAAGUUGACUGUCCAGGAAAGUGCCCAACAGGAUGGCACCACUAUGAGGGCACAGCCAGCUGUUACAGGGUGUAUUUAAAUGGGGAGAACUACUGGGACGCUGUGCAGACAUGUCAGCGGGUGAACGGAUCCCUCGCCACCUUCACUGCAGACCAGGAGCUGAGGUUCAUCCUGGCUCAGGAGUGGGACUUGGAAGAGAAAACAUUUGUAAGGAACGACCUGCCCCGGUUCUGGGUCGGAUAUCAGUAUGUGAUCACCAAUCGAAAUCACUCCGUGGAAGGUCACUGGGAAGUAGCUUAUAAAGGUAGGCCUCCCAAAUUCCUGCUUAGUUCAGUGGCCCAUGGAAACUGUCUUAAAGCCUGAAUAUAAUUUGCAAGAACAACAUAGCUUCUUUUAGUGCUAGUGUUGAAUAGUGCAGGGGAACUGCUUGGCUUUACAAUGUGGCAACGAAAGAGUUUAAUACUCCAUACAUGUCUUAUUUUA